CAGCACCUCAAGUGGUCAGGAUGAUUAUUGGGCCUAGAGCAUCCGUAGCCGGCUCUGUAAGUUUUCGGUUAAAUCUGUACGCUCAACGUACAGGCUGCCGGGAAUACUGCAGCGCUAGGGAGUGGGAGAGGUAGACGGUACUCGGUAGGAAGGGGUAAAAUCCUUUGAUCUAUUGAUGACCACCUGUGGCGAAGGCGGUCUACCAGAACACGUCCGACGGUGAGGGAUGAAAGCUGGGGGAGCAAACCGGAUUAGAUACCCGAGUAGUCC
rnacentral:rRNA from 1 species